AACGAACGCUGGCGGCGUGCCUAACACAUGCAAGUCGAACGGAGAUAAGAAGCUUGCUUCUUAUUUUAGUGGCGCACGGGUGAGUAACGCGUGGAUACUCUACCUGACGCUCUGGGAUAACAUCUCGAAAGGGGUGCUAAUACCGGAUAAGCCCACGAGACCUUCGGGUCAUGCGGGAAAAGGAGGGGACCUUCGGGCCUUCCGACAUCAGAUGAGUCCGCGUCCCAUUAGCUAGUUGGCGGGGUAAUGGCCCACCAAGGCUACGAUGGGUAGCUGGUCUGAGAGGAUGAUCAGCCACACUGGAACUGAGACACGGUCCAGACUCCUACGGGAGGCAGCAGUGGGGAAUUUUGCGCAAUGGGGGAAACCCUGACGCAGCAACGCCGCGUGAGUGAUGAAGGCUUUCGGGUCGUAAAGCUCUGUCAGAAGGGAAGAAAUGUAGGUGGCUAAUAUCCAUUCUACUUGACGGUACCUUCAAAGGAAGCACCGGCUAACUCCGUGCCAGCCGCCGCAGUAA
rnacentral:rRNA from 1 species